rnacentral:rRNA from 1 species
UAGGGAAUCUUCCGCAAUGGGCGAAAGCCUGACGCAGCAACGCCGCGUGAGUGAUGAAGGUUUUCGGGUCGUAAAACUUUGUUAGUAGGGAAGAACAAAUGUGUAAUUAACUAUGCACGUCUUGAUGGUACCUAAUCAGAAAGCCAGGGAUAACGACGUGACAGCAGCUGCGGUAAUACGUAGGUGGCAAGCGUUAUCCGGAAUUAUUGGGUGUGAAGCGCGCGUAGGCGGUUUUUUAAGUCUGCUGUGAAAGCCCACGGCUCAACCGUGGAGGGUCAUUGGAAACUGGAAAACUUGAGUGCAGAAGAGGAAAGUGGAAUUCCCUGUGUAGCGGUGAAAUGCGCAGAGAUAUGGAGGAACACCAGUGGCGAAGGCGACUUUCUGGUCUGUAACUGACGCUGAUGUGCGAAAGCGUGGGGAUCAAACAGG